UACGGAGGGUGCAAGCGUUAUCCGGAUUCACUGGGCUUAAAGGGUGCGUAGGCGGGCAUUUAAGUCAGCUGUGAAAGCCCCGGGCUUAACCUGGGAAUGGCGGUUGAAACUAGUCGACUAGAAUCUGGCAGAGGGGGGUGGAAUUCCCCGUGUAGCAGUGAAAUGCGUAGAGAUGUGGAGGAACACCGAUGGCGAAGGCAGCCCCCUGGGCUGAGAUUGACGCUCAGGCACGAAAGCGUGGGGAGCAAACAGG
rnacentral:rRNA from 1 species